GCAGCGCUGUGGUGGAACAGGGAUUCUCUCUCUGGUCCGUGGCUCUGGACCAUCUCAGCCGUGCAAACCUGGCUCAUCCCUGCUCUCCAGGAAUCACAGGGAGCUGGACACUGACCCCCAGCCCUGGGGUGACCUGCAGGACCCCACUGUGCCCCUGUGCCCCCUCCUCAUCCUGCCACAUCCACAUUUGCAUCUCAAACGAGUCUCUGGCUCAGAGUGACUCACUUCAGGGUCGCCUGGGUAAUUUUGAGGAUUCCUGUGAUCUCCGAGCUGUCCCUGAGCAGAGGGAGAAGGAGGGGACAUCCAAGGAGCUGCUGUGAAUUUUCCACCCAGGACUAUCACCACAUAAAGAGCCGGAGACAGGGAAAGCAUUCCUGAGCCGGGAAGAGCACCUUCCACCCUGCAAAUCGCAGCUUUUAUCCCCAAAAUCCCAACCAGCAUUAACAGGCAGCUCCAAUCCCCGGAGCCUGACACCAUCUGAGCGACAGCAGAAGGAAAAACGCGACUUCAUUUCCCCGGAGGCUGAGCCGGGCUCAAAUUCAGGCUCCCAAACCUGCUUGGGUCAGCAAGAAGCACUUGAUGGGAUCGGGAAGAAAACCUGCCCGCGUGGAAAUAAGGCGAUAAGAGCAUGAAAAUGGGGGCAGGGGGGUUGAGCUGUGCUCCUCACCCCAUCACCGACCCCCCAAAACAGGACAGGCACAGCCCCUGUCUCUCCCCACCGCAGCAAUCGCAGCCGGGAGCCCUUUAAAUGGUUUCAAAUGUUAAUUCCUCAUCGUGGCAGUAAAAGCUAUUUUUAAUCCCACGUGAAAGCAGUUUGCAGAAACCCAAACUUUGCACGAAUUAUGGAUUGCUUCCCAAGAGCGGGCGGUGCUGGGUGUGUGUCGGGGAGCAGAAAACAGAGGCACAUCAGCCUGGUCCUGAGAGCAGGGCUGGCGCUAGAACAGUGCAUGAAAGCCAACCCCAAACUCUACACCUUAAGUAAAAGCUUUCAUGUAUCUUAUUCUUAGUUAAAAUCAGCUAUUUCUCAGGUUUCCCGCAUGUUUUCUUUGUACUCGAGGUUUCAUUUCCCAAACACGGGGGUGAGAAUCCGGGGAAGCUGAGACAGAAAGGUCUCACUUGUGAAUGGAACAGAAAAAAAAAAAAGAGAAAAGAUUGCAAAGUAAUAUAGGCGAGAAGCUGCGGGGCUGAGUGUCUGCGAGUGCCCCGGGAAAACAAGGGCCGCUCUGAAAUCGAGUCCGUCAGGAGGAGAGAUUAGCGGUGCCAAUGAAUAAAGAUAAAAUCCCGGAGCA